GUCGAGAAUUUUUCUCAAUGGGCGAAAGCCUGAAGGAGCGACGCCGCGUGGAGGAUGAAGGUCUUCGGAUUGUAAACUCCUGUCAUUAGGGAACAAGUGCCGGCAUUUAACUGGUGUCGGCUUGAUAGUACCUGAAGAGGAAGAGACGGCUAACUCUGUGCCAGCAGCCGCGGUAAUACAGAGGUCUCAAGCGUUGUUCGGAUUCAUUGGGCGUAAAGGGUGCGUAGGCGGCGCCGUAAGUCAGGUGUGAAAUCCCGGGGCUCAACCCCGGAACGGCACUUGAUACUGCGGUGCUUGAGGACUGGAGAGGAGACUGGAAUUCCCGGUGUAGCAGUGAAAUGCGUAGAUAUCGGGAGGAAGGCCAGUGGCGAAGGCGGGUCUCUGGACAGUUCCUGACGCUGAGGCACGAAGGCCAGGGGAGCAAACGGGAUUAGAAACCCGAGUAGUCC
rnacentral:rRNA from 1 species